rnacentral:rRNA from 1 species
AUUGAACGCUGGCGGCAGGCCUAACACAUGCAUGUCGAGCGGAGCGGCGGACGGGUGAGGAAUGCCUAGGAAUCUGCCUGGUAGUGGGGGAUAACGUCCGGAAACGGGCGCUAAUAACGCAUACUACCAGAUGAGCCUAGGUGGGAUUAGAUAGUUGGUGGGGUAAAGGCCUAACAAGGCGACGAUCCGUAACUGGUCUGAGAGGAUGAUCAGUCCCACUGGAAAUGUGACACGGUCCAGACUCCUACGGGAGGCAGCAGUGGGGAAUCUUGGACAAUGGGCGAAAGCCUGCUCCAGCCAUGCCGCGUGUGUGAAGAAGGUCUUCGGAUUGUAAAGCACUUUUAGUUGGGAGGCGUUACCAACAGAAUAAGCACCGGCUAACUUCGUGCCAGCAGCCGCGGUAAUAC